rnacentral:rRNA from 1 species
AACGUAGGACGCAAGCGUUAUCCGGAAUUACUGGGCGUAAAGCGUGCGCAGGCGGUUUUGUAAGUCUGUCGUGAAAGCCCCGGGCUCAACCUGGGAAUUGCGAUGGAGACUGCAAGGCUUGAAUCUGGCAGAGGGGGGUAGAAUUCCACGUGUAGCAGUGAAAUGCGUAGAUAUUGGGAGGAACACCAGUGGCGAAGGCGGGUUACUGGGCUGAUACUGACGCCGAUGCGCGAAAGCCAGGGGAGCAAACGGG